rnacentral:snRNA from 1 species
GUACUUGCUUUGGCAGCACAUACACUAAAAUUGAAAUGAUACAUAGAAGGUUAGCACGGGCCUGGUGCAAGUAUGAAAUAUUCCAUCUUCUN